rnacentral:rRNA from 1 species
GACGAGGGACCUAGCGUUGUUCGGAAUCAUUGGGCGUAAAGCGGGUGUAGGUGGCUUGGUAAGUCGAGGUGUGAAAGCCCAGGGCUCAACCCUGGAAGUGCAUUCGAUACUGCUGAGCUUGAGUGUUGGAGAGGUCAUCGGAAUACCUGGUGUAGUGGUGAAAUACGUAGAUAUCAGGAGGAACACCGAUGGCGAAGGCAGGUCUCUGGGCCACCACUGACGCUGAGAAGCGAAAGCAUGGGGAGCGAACAGG